rnacentral:rRNA from 1 species
CACGUAGUUAGCCGGAGCUUUCUUCACAGGUACAGCCUUUUUUCUUCCCUGUGGACAAUAGUUUACAAUCCGAAAACCUUCUUCCUAUACGCGGCGUCACUGCGUCAGAGUUUCCUCCAUUGCGCAAUAUUCCCGACUGCUGCCUCCCGUAGGAGUCUGGGCCGUAUCUCAGUCCCAAUGUGGCCGUUCAACCUCUCAGUCCGGCUACUGAUCGUCGCCUUGGUAGGCCGUUACCCCACCAACUAGCUAAUCAGACGCAAGCUCAUCUAUCAUCGGAUUGCUCCUUUCCCACUAUUAUCAUGCGAUAAUUAUGGCAUAUGCGGUAUUAGCAAUGAUUUCUCACUGUUACUUCCCCUCUGAUAGGCAGUAUUUCUUACGUUGUUACUCACCUAGUCCCGCCAACUAACCGCUCCUCUUGCAAGCAAGUAGGUUAAGUUCGUUCGACUUGCUAUGUUCUUAUGUGCCGCCGCCAGUCGUUUUAUCCGUGACGCCGAGGACUACCUAAA